AGUCAAAAGGUCGGUAACGGAACUUCCGUUAAUUGAUUAUGACGUACUUGUACUGAUUGAGAUUUUAACACGAAGUGAGUGGCGAACGGGUGAGUAACACGUGGGUAACCUGCCCAGAAGUAGGGGAUAACACCUGGAAACAGAUGCUAAUACCGUAUAACAGAGAAAACCGCAUGGUUUUCUUUUAAAAGAUGGCUCUGCUAUCACUUCUGGAUGGACCCGCGGCGUAUUAGCUAGUUGGUGAGGUAAAGGCUCACCAAGGCAGUGAUACGUAGCCGACCUGAGAGGGUAAUCGGCCACAUUGGGACUGAGACACGGCCCAGACUCCUACGGGAGGCAGCAGUAGGGAAUCUUCCACAAUGGACGCAAGUCUGAUGGAGCAACGCCGCGUGAGUGAAGAAGGGUUUCGGCUCGUAAAGCUCUGUUGUUAAAGAAGAACGUGGGUAAGAGUAACUGUUUACCCAGUGACGGUAUUUAACCAGAAAGCCACGGCUAACUACGUGCCAGCAGCCGCGGUAAUACGUAGGUGGCAAGCGUUAUCCGGAUUUAUUGGGCGUAAAGCGAGCGCAGGCGGUCUUUUAAGUCUAAUGUGAAAGCCUUCGGCUCAACCGAAGAAGUGCAUUGGAAACUGGGAGACUUGAGUGCAGAAGAGGACAGUGGAACUCCAUGUGUAGCGAUGAAAUGCGUAGAUAUGUGGAAGAACACCAGUGGCGAAGGCCGCUU
rnacentral:rRNA from 1 species